GUGAAGAACGGGAAGACCGCUGUCCUCGAUGACAAAUGGAUUGCUAAAGCCCGCUGCCAUCUUUAAAACUACCCAACCGAAGAGGGUACUUACUCCUGAAAAGCUGACAUCCGUGUGCACGUUACCUCGGAGGUGGGGUUUCUCUACCCGAAGAAAAGUUCAACUGGGCCAUGGAAAAAGCCAAGUCUGACUUUCAGUGCUGAAUCUUGUUGACCCGGUGCCCCUACAAGGACGAGGACCUGGUCAACAGGAGUGUGAGGGCCAGUCCUCCAGAUGGCUUAUCUCACCAUGUGAAGAAGCGCAAGACCACUGUUCCCGAUGACGACCGGAUCGGCAAAGCCCGCUGUCAUCUUUCGAACUUCUUAAGCGAGAACAAUCGACCUUGAAAGGCUGAAAAGUGCCCACAGGUGCCCCUGACACCUCCUGUGCCCUUCGGGUCUCCUAAUGAAAAUUAAGCUUUUAAAGGCUUAUAUUUUUUUAGAACAGGUGUUUUUUGGUGAGGUUUUUUCUUUUGAUUCAUUUGAAAAGACAGUACCGUAAUAUCCCGAGAGAUUGUCGACCUAAAAUUGAAAA